UAUGUAUCGAGAUGUAUUUUAUUAAGUCUUCAUGGGUACCUGGGACCUGGUAGACUUAGUGGGACUUGGGAGUAGGAAUGGGAGAAAGGGGCAGCAUGAUCUUACUAUGCAGACUGUAUUUCCAGAAACCUGCUCAGCCAGCUCCUGAUGGAGAACACAUGUAGGAAGAAGUUGGUCCCACUGAAGCAGGAGAGCAAGGAGGGAUAUCUUGAGUGUGCACUGAACCAGAAAUAUUUGGUUGACUUCAGCAAGAAAGAUAAAGACCAGCAACGUCCAGACCCAGCAUCAUCUGGUCUCAGAAAGUGCAAGAGAGAUGGAAUUGGACACACGCCAGUAAGAGAGCUUCCUGAGGAAUAAGUUGCUUUCUCAGGAGUCCCUGAUGACAAACAUCCUGAACGAAAACAGCACUUGAGAGACAACUUGGAGGACUGCCUUUCAUUAUGUGUGCUAGAGGAGAAACAGCAAUACAUCUGUGCUUCUAAAUGUUCGUUAAGAAUAUGCUGUUUAGAAAUAUUUUUGUUAUGAUUUUAAUUGAAGUUUUCUUUUUGUUGUUUCAUAUUUAUAUGUUCUUGUUACUAUUUUUCACUUUCAAAUAUUUUUAAAUAUUUUUAUUCAUUCAUUUUAAUCCUGU
ensembl:lncRNA